GAACAUUCAGCGAACAGGAUGUCCUUAUUAAGAAGUUUAAUUCUUUAAUUAAAUUUUACACAUUCAAGUAUUUUAAUGGACAAUUUUAUACCUCAGUAUAUUUUACAAUGUACAUCCAUUCUAUCAAAUUUUUAGUGCUGUUUCUGAAUUUUCAAAAUUUUUACUUGUAAUACAUAUAUAUACCAGGUAUACAACAAUUUUUUUUUUAAUAGUUAUGGAUUUAUUAUUACAUGUAUGCAUUAUACUACAAAUAUACUCAUUGUCUCAACUUGUAGAUCAAAAAAAGGUCUACUGGUGCUAGUUCUGUACAAUACCUGUGAUUUUGUCCAUAUUAAUUGCUUUGAUUUUCGUUGUGAUCUCUAACCUGUGCAGUAUCAUGAUCAUCAGUGUCUGCUUCAAACAUUAACAUGAUCUUGAUGAAUGUUUCACCUGAACCAGAUAACCUGUGAGGAAUAUGGAUCUGUUUUACAUUACAGAGUAUGAUUGUUCCCCGUUGAAAGAUCCGAUUUUACUCAUUUGGGGUAUAAUAGACAGUUGAAAUGUAAUUUUUUUUGAAUGGUUCACUGUACUUGUACAGUAUGUUGAUAGAUCUAGUAUUGAGCAUUGUGUAAUAGGUUUCAUCUUCGGAGAAUACAAAUAGUGCAUGAUUGUAUCCUUACAGCUUCUUCGCUUGUUACAAUACGUACAUAUUAAUUUUGUUAAUUUAAAAAAAAACUGUUGGAUUCAUAUUCUUUGUUGAUUUUUUUCUUAUUGUGAAUAGUCAAUUGUAACUGUAAUUUAUUUUUAAUUUAUCUGAUAUAAGUGAAAUUCUUUUGUUUGCAAGAGGAUUGAAUUGUAAAUAGAUUAAAAAAGCAUGAGCAUUUCUGUUUCAUAGUAAAUAAAAAUGCUACAUACCUGU
rnacentral:misc_RNA from 1 species